rnacentral:rRNA from 1 species
UACGUAGGGUGCGAGCGUUAAUCGGAAUUACUGGGCGUAAAGCGUGCGCAGGCUGUCUUGUAAGUCAGAUGUGAAAUCCCUGGGCUCAACCUAGGAACUGCGUUUGAAACUACAAGGCUAGAGUGUAGCAGAGGGGGGGUAGAAGUUCCACGUGUAGCAGUGAAAUGCGUAGAGAUGUGGAGGAAUACCGAUGGCGAAGGCAGCCCCCUGGGUCAAGAUUGACGCUCAUGCACGAAAGCGUGGGGGAGCAAACAGG